UGGUCAAGUGAACAAGGGUCUAUGGUGGAUGCCUUGGCGUUGAGCGGCGAUGAAGGACGUGACUACCUGCGAAAAGUAUCGGGGAGCUGGUUAGUAAGCUUUGAUCCGGUAAUGUCCGAAUGGGGAAACCCGGCUGGUUUUGCCAGUCACCUACACCUGAAUACAUAGGGUGUAUGGAGCGAACGCGGUGAAUUGAAACAUCUUAGUAACCGCAGGAAAAGAAAUCUAAAGAGAUUCCGUAAGUAGCGGCGAGCGAACGCGGAACAGCCCAAACCGGUGGGCUUGCUCACCGGGGUUGUAGGACUGCAACAUGGUAUUGUCUAAGGAUAGUUGAACACUCUGGAAAGUGUGGCCAUAGUGGGUGAUAGCCCCGUAAGCGAAAUCCUGAAACAGCCUAGCAGUAUCCUGAGUAGGACGGGGCACGAGAAACCUUGUCUGAAUCUGGGGGGACCACCCUCCAAGGCUAAAUACGUCUCAACGACCGAUAGUGAACCAGUACCGUGAGGGAAAGGUGAAAAGCACCCCGAUGAGGGGAGUGA
rnacentral:rRNA from 1 species